ACAUUUAGUUUGCUUUUCUAUUGCUGGGUAAUCUUCUUAUGCCAUCAUUUUCUUAGUAUUUUUAUGGUGCAGGUAUCUGGUCUAGAUCCGACGGAGACAAGCAAAAUUUUGCUGCUUCUUCUUCUUUCGAUUGAAAAUCCAGGUGAAAACUUUCAGGAACUCAGGACGACACACAUUGAUUAUAUUUCAUUGUGAUGGCCGUUGCCGACACAGCUACUAUGGGUACAAGCAACUUCUAUUUCGCUCGUCAUAGGAAACCACCGCCCAGAUCCAUCUCUUCUCAACCAUGCCGACGUGGUGGUUAGGGGCGCUUACAACUUGUGAGGGCCUGCGUUCUCGUUGUUGAUCCGUGAUGGCAUGGCCUCCCCGCGCCCUAGCCGCGUUCUAGCUGAUGGUUUGGGUCUGCCAGCAGAGGGAGAGGGGGACGACCUCUGUCGCUCCUUCUCUCUAGCCUCUUCAUCUUGAUGAAGCCGUAGGAGUAGAGGGGCACACGUGUGAUGGAUCUGCUCCAAGCACCUCAAGCGACGCAUCUUCAAGGUGAUCACUUCAUCCACAUUCAAUCUCAGUUCCCGCGUUUACUCCGAGGAGAGUUCAAAAGCAGCAGGAGCAUUUGUUCUACUGCUGGUCGGAGGGAGAGCUUGGCAAGGGAGAUAGAGGGAGCUCUACAACCACGAUCUUGGCAUACAACCCGAUGGCAUCAUGCCCACCUUGUGUGUUUCAUUGAUGGAGGAGGUAUAAAUCUGUUCCUUAAAGCGAGCAAAUCAAAACAAAAGCGCAGGAGGUAUCCGACAACACUGACGACUGCUACGCCAUUCCACUUAGACCUGAAGGCAACAUCAAAGGG